rnacentral:rRNA from 1 species
GAUGAACGCUGGCGGCGUGCUUAACACAUGCAAGUCGAACGGAAAGGCCGAAGCUUGCUUCGGUACUCGAGUGGCGAACGGGUGAGUAACACGUGGGUGAUCUGCCCUGUACUUCGGGAUAAGCUUGGGAAACUGGGUCUAAUACCGGAUAUGACGAUCUCUUGGAUGGGGUUGUGGAAAGCUUUUGCGGUAUGGGAUGAGCUCGCGGCCUAUCAGCUUGUUGGUGGGGUAAUGGCCUACCAAGGCGUCGACGGGUAGCCGGCCUGAGAGGGUGUACGGCCACAUUGGGACUGAGAUACGGCCCAGACUCCUACGGGAGGCAGCAGUGGGGAAUAUUGCACAAUGGGCGCAAGCCUGAUGCAGCGACGCCGCGUGGGGGAUGACGGCCUUCGGGUUGUAAACUCCUUUCGCAAUCGACGAAGCCUUUUGGUGACGGGAGGUUGAGAAGAAGCACCGGCUAACUACGU